rnacentral:lncRNA from 1 species
GUCAGCUGUGUGAUGACCUGGAUGUCUCGAGCCCUGUCUUCAGGAUGUCAGGACUCUGGAGCUGUCCUGCUGCCCCAUUGUCCUGCUGGCCUUGGUGGGGCUAUGGACUGCAGGACAGAUAUAGCCAGGCUUCCUGCCAAAAAGAAAAGAAAAACCCUCCAAGGAGGCUCACUGAGGAGAGGCCUACACCCCAC